rnacentral:lncRNA from 10 species
GCAGUGUCAUGAGCUUGGCUCACUACAGCCUCCAUCUUCUGAGCUUAAGGAUCCUUCCCUCUCAACCUCCAGGGUAGCUGAGACUACAGGUUCCUGAUGAGGGCAGGGAGGUGAAUCCUAAGAACAAUCAUGUGAGUUUGGAAGGAGACCCUUCCCCAGCUGAGCCUCAGCCUGAGCCAUCACCUACAUCUAGACCGAAGACCCAGAGAAACUGGCAACAUUUGAAACCCAGGAGCCACUGCUUCAGGAAGGUACCUUCAAGCUCCAAGGACUCUUAUCCUCUUUCUCCUUCCCCACUACCUAGUCAUUAGAGUGUCAGCAUCCACUUCUUGAAAGGAAGAUGCCUGUUUUUCACAUAUCCCAGAAAGCCCCAUUUUAGGACAGCAUUUAGCAGAGUAUAUUCAAGAUCCCACUAACCUUUUCGGAAGACAUGAAUUCCAGAUGAUAUAAGGGCUCCAUCAGGAACUGUUCAGGACCAUGCACUCUGUUGAUACUCACAUGGUGGAAUUAUAUUGCCCUUGGCCAACCCUAAAGCCAUCAAGAUAGCAGGGUUUCGAAUAAUUCAUCAGUGAAGUCUUCUCAACCAGGUCAAUCACGAGAACUUAGAAGAUGAUUCCUCCCCAGCUGAUCCUCAGGUGAGACCUCAGCCUUGGCCAUCAUCUACAUCUGGAUUCCUGACUCAGAGAAACUGGGAACACUAAAGCCCAUUCUUCCUCUCAAGUAACCAGAAAUAAAGUUGAUCCAAGUAACAAGUGGACAGCAUAAAAGAUUGUAUGGAAACUAUAAUGCAUCUACAUCUGCAGUAACUAAUCAUAAAAUGAUUUGUAUGAUCAUUCUUCACAUGAUUAUGAUGACUAUGGGAAAGAAGAAAAAGAAAUGCAACUUUCUUGAUUUAAAAAUUGUAUCUAAGGGGCAUGAAGCACCUUUCUGGGGCAAUGGUAAGAUUUUUUGAAUCUUGACAGCAGUGAUGUUUAUAUUCCUGUAUUCAUUGUCCAAAUGAAUAAAAUAGUUC